rnacentral:rRNA from 1 species
GAGACUCAGUGAAAUUGAACUCGCUGUGAAGAUGCAGUGUACCCGCGGCAAGACGGAAAGACCCCGUGAACCUUUACUAUAGCUUGACACUGAACAUUGAGCCUUGAUGUGUAGGAUAGGUGGGAGGCUUUGAAGCCUGGACGCCAGUCUGCGUGGAGCCAACCUUGAAAUACCACCCUUUAAUGUUUGAUGUUCUAACGUUGGCCCCUGACCGGGGUUGCGGACAGUGUCUGGUGGGUAGUUUGACUGGGGCGGUCUCCUCCCAAAGCGUAA